UGUUGGUUUCAGCCAUGGUGGCGCAAGUGAGCUUGAUGCUUCAGCAAACCAUGGUGGUGGAAGUGUGGAUGGGAAUGGUGGUGGUGGUGGUGGUGGUAGUGGUAGUGGUAGUGGUAGUGGUAGUGGUAGUGGUAGUGGUAGUGGUAGUGGUCGUUCCCCGAUCCAAGUUGAAGAUGAUGGUGGUGGUGAUCAUUCUUCGGCCCAACUUGAAGAUCCUCCAAAUUGCGGUGCUCGUUCUUCGGUCCAAGUUCGUGAAGAUCGUGGUGCUGGUGGUGCUCGCUCUUCGAUCCAAGUAGAAGAUGGUGGUCUUCACAACAAUGUGGAUGUUGAUUGAUUUAUCCAUGACCAAAUAUUAUUUGAGCAUCUUUUGUUUUGUUUGAUCGCGCAUUUGCAAGGCUAAACUUGAUACCUACUAUGUUGUGCAUGAUUUUGGAUGUGAUGAACUAGUAUGUUGAUGAACUAGUAUGUUGAUGAACUAGUGGUAAACUUGAUAAUAUUUGCCCUAUGAUUUCAUUUGCGGCACCGCAAGCCCUCCGGCGCGGACCAGAUCGUGCAAACGUAUCUCGCAAAACAUUUGUGGGAUGGGUUUCUAGGAUUUAUUCCACCGGAGCGCUCACGGCCCGUAAGCAGGCCUGGGCCCACAGUGGUGCCACAUGUGCAGCCCACACAGGGCCCACGAUUUGGGGGGGGGGGCCAAAAUAUAUAUAUAAUAUAGCAUAUAAUUUUAUUAAAAAAACGAAUCGUGCGGUCGUGGGCGACUGGGCGUCGUGGCCUCGCGUUGUGGCUCGUAUCCGCGUCGUGGGCGCCCACGAUGCCUCGAGCAAGCUGGCCGCUGGGCGCCUGGGCUAGUGGGCCGUUGCCUCAAGGCUUGACCGCUUGAGCAUGAGCGACCUGGGUGUGAUCGCCAGGCAGGGCCUGCCUGCCUGGUAGGCUGGUAAACGUGAUCGACUGGCCGCUGGGCUCCUGAUUGCAUGAUCCAGUCAGAUCUCUCCCGAGAGCAGCUCGUCCACCUUUGUACAGAAACGAUACGCGCUGUGCCGCCGUGGCGCCAUCCACCUCGGAUCGCCAGCCAGAGCAGCUCGUCUCUGCCGUUGACGCCGUGCGUGCGCAACUGCGCAUGUACGAGUAGCGCUCCCCGUCUAUAUUUCGGUAAGAAAGAAUAUCUCGUCUGCUCGUCGCCUCCGCCGUUCGCAUCAUCACUGAUCACUUCAUCUGUUCAUCAAAUCGAUCCCGCGAUCCGAUUCAGGCCGCCGCUGAGACUCGUUGUCUCGUCGGAUCGAUCCCAGUUCAGCCGUGCAGGUCCCAAAACUAGGUGAGUUAGACGGUUCGUAUUGAUACAUGCUACUGUAUAACUUCAAUUUCAUUGUAUUCAUCUUUUUAAUCUUGUGUUUCAAUAAUAUAGUUUUGAGUCAUCAUGAGGAAACAUCAGUCUGGUGCCUAUAAGCGCAAGAAAAAAGCGGAAGAACAAAAUUUAAUUAAUAAAUCUUAUAAAGGCGGCAUGGACAAAUUUGUUAGAAAAGAAGCACCGCAAGUGUCAUCCGGUAAUCAAUCUGUUGAUCCUUCUACCCUUGCAAUUGUUCCUUACAAUGAUGCUACAGAUGGUCAGACAGGGACAGAUAAUAUGGAGGUAGAGGAAGAUCAUAUUGAUGUUAACUUGAAUAGUUCACCUCAUGAGGAUGUUGAUGAUUCUUCUAAGUCUGAUAUAUUUGAUCCAAGAAACUGGGAUUCUCUUGAUUCUAAACAAAUUGAUAUCUUAGCACAAAAGGGUCCAAAAAGAGACAAUUCAAUUAAGAAAGGUCCUAAAGAUAGAUAUCGUAAAAGGUUUACCCCAGUAUUCUAUACUAGAUUUCUAUCAAAUGGAGAGUGUUGUGAUAGAGACUGGCUUGUCUAUUCUAAACAACUUGAUAGAGUCUUUUGCUUUGCUUGUAAGUUAUUUAGAAAAAGUCAUCAGAAAGGUCAAUUGGCAAAUGAGGGCUUUAAUGAUUGGUCACAUAUGACCAAUAGACUAAAAGACCAUGAGACAAGUGGGGAUCAUGUUUUGAGUAUGACUAAUUGGUAUGAGUUGCGCGGUAGAUUAGAAAAACAUCAAACUAUUGAUAAAGCAGCUCAACGACAACUUGAGAAAGAGAAGGACCAUUGGAGAAAGGUAUUAUUCAGAAUUGUUUGCAUUGUAAAAUUUCUUGCCAAGCAUAAUCUAGCAUUCCGUGGUACUAAUGGCAAGUUGUAUGAAGAUAGCAAUGGUAAUUUAUUGGGUUUGGUAGAGAUGUUGGCUGAAUUUGACCCCAUGAUUCAGGAGCAUGUUCGUCGUAUUACAAAUGAAGAAACCCAUGCUCAUUAUCUUGAUCAUAAGAUUCAGAAUGAAUUGCUACACUUUCUUGCUUCUUGUAUUAGGUCUGAAAUUAUCAAGAAAAUAAAGAGCGCAAAGUAUUUCUCUGUCAUACUUGAUUGUACCCCUGAUGCAAGUCACCAAGAGCAAAUGCCUUUAAUUAUAAGAUAUGUGGAUUCAUCUUCAAGUCAAGUUUGCAUAGAAGAGUCUUUUCUAGGAUUUCUUGAUGUAAAUGAUACAACUGGCCAAGGACUUUUUGAGGUGCUACAGAAUGAGCUAAAACUUCUUGAUCUUGAUAUAAAUGAUGUGCGAGGGCCAGGUUAUGAUAAUGGAUCAAACAUGAAAGGAACGCAUCAAGGGGUACAAAGAAAACUUUUGGAUGUAAAUCCUAGAGCUUUUUAUUCUGCAUGUGGUUGUCAUAGCCUUAAUUUAACACUUUGUGAUAUGGCCAAGACUUGUGGUAGAGCAAAAGACUUUUUUGGGAUCAUCCAACGCAUCUAUACAAUUUUUGCAAACUCUACUAAGAAAUGGCACAUUUUGAAAGAAAACAUAUCAGGAUUGACUCUCAAGUCUGUGUCAGCUACGCGUUGGGAGAGUCGUGUUGAAAGUGUUAAACCAAUUAGAUUUCAAUGUUCAGACAUUCGGGAGGCUCUACUUCAGGUAACCAAUAUGUUCAUAUUGAUAAUGAUGUAAUUCAUUCAGGCUUUGACUAGAUCCAGCCAUAACAUUUAUGAACUUUCUUUUAAUUUCAGGUAUCUGAAACUGAUAGUGAUCCAAAGGCAAGCAGUGAGGCUCUAGGUUUGGCAAACAAUGAACUUGGAGAGUAUGAGUUUAUCCUGGCAAUUGUCAUUUGGUAUGAGGUAUUGUCUGCUAUUAAUUUAGUAAGCAAGAACUUGCAAACAAAGGAUAUUCUCAUUGAUGUUGCAAUUGAGAAAGUGAAAGGGCUUAUUUCUUUCUUUGAGAGGUACAGAGAAACUGGUUUCUUAGAAGCAUUGGAGAUAGCCAAAGAAUUGCACUUGAGAUGAAUAUUGAUGUCACAUUUCGUAAAAGAAGAGAAAUUAAAAGAAAGAAACAGUUUGAUGAGAACCCAGAUGACACAAAUAUUGCCACACAGUCUGCAGAGGAAUCAUUUAGAGUCAACUAUUUCAUACGUGUUGUUGAUCAAGCAAUUUCCUCACUCACAAGGAGAUUUGAGCAAUAUGAAGGUUACCAGAAAAUAUUUGGUUUCUUAUUUACCUCUGAAACAUUGCGUUCAUUGGAUAAGGAUAGUUUGAAAUCUUCUCGUGUUAAUCUUGAGGCUUCCCUUAUGAAGGAUAAACAAUCUGAUAUUGAUGCCAAUGAACUAUUUGUUGAGUUGAAGUUUCUUCAAAAUUUCGUGCCAAAAGAAAAUAUCGGACCUGUUGAAAUUCUGAAUUUUUUAAAGCGGCAUGAUUGUUUUUCCAAUGCAAGUAUUGCAUAUAGAGUUCUGUUGACCAUUCCUGUGACAGUUGCAUCGGCAGAAAGAAGUUUUUCUAAAUUGAAACUAUUGAGGUCCUAUAUGCAUACUACUAUGACACAGCAAAGACUCAAUGAUUUGGCCACAAUAGCACUUGAGAGUGAAGUCUUGGAGAAGAUUGAUUACGAGGAUAUCAUUGAAGAUUUUAUUUCAAAGAAUACUGCAAGAAUGAGGAUGUUCAAAUAAACGGCAAUCGGGAGUUGCAUAGGUAUGACUUUUUUAUAUGUCCAAUUUUUAUGUAAGAUAUUAUAUUAUAUACAUUAUAAUUUUUUCUGCGAGACAUAUAUACAUUAUAAUUGCUCGUUAGUUCAUAUUUUUGUGAGAUAGGCCCCAUUUUUUCGUUCCGCACAGGGCCCCGGAUUUAACGUUUUGCGGGCGCCCUUAUAUCACUUUUGCGGGCUGGCCGUUUGCGGGAUCUGCUAGAGAUGCUCUUAUACUAGUUCUUGAGAAUUAGAACUAUUACCACACAUUCGCACACACACAAAAGUACUACACAUGGAUAUUACUAUUACUACUAGCACUGAGUGCUUCUCCUUUGUCUCAUCAGCAUUACUAGUGCUACACAGGCACAUCCAUUGAUAAGGACCAAACUGACACUAUCUAAGUGCACAUCUUUAUGCAUAUUGGCUUACACAAAAUUAAGUACUCACAAGGAUGACAAGCAGAACAAAACUACAAUUGAACAGAUUCCCUAACAUUUCCCCAGUGACCAAACAUGGAUUAAGCAAUACCCAAAGGACAGAAGAGAAGCAAGAUUGCACAAUAAUUGAGCUCAUGUUCAGGUUCAUCCAUGAAGUUUCAAGCCACAUCAGGCGGUACUUGAGAAUGUGACGGAUGCAGGGUCAAGACUUUGUCGGUCUCCUCUCUAGGUGUCCGGAUCCGGUGUGCUUGCCACUAAACCUGCUGAUUGGGUGAGGUUAUGGUUAGAGUUGAAGAAAAAGAGAAGGAUUCAUGAGAAAGGGGAGGAGAGAAGAGGUGGAGGAGGAGAGUUGCCCGGGGAAGGAGGUCAACUGAACAGGAGCGCUCACUGGCAGCUGGACGGGAACGUGGAGGCGGCAACAUGAGGUCAGGGUGAAAGAGGAGCAAGAAGAGGAAAAGAGUGCAGGAAGUGAUUAUUCGGCUCAUUGGAAAAUCUCACCAGCAACAAGGAAGCCGAGCGCCAUGGACACAAAGCAAAGGUGGAGGUGGUAGGAAUGGUGUCGCGGGACGAUGGAAUCGUGGAAUUGUUAGGAAGUAUUAGUAUUAGUCUAGGAGUCCUUAUUAGUAUUAGUAUUAGUCUAGGAGCCCUUAUUAGUCUAUGUUAACUUUCCUUGCACCUCAAGUCAUGUGUAAUAUAUAUAUGCCCCUUGGGCCUUCAAUAUAGACAAGUUGCUUAUUCUAACAUGGUAUUAGAGCCUUAGGGUUUUUUUUUCUCGCACGCGCAACUCGUGCUCCGAUCCAAUCUCGUCUUCCCGCAGUUGCCUUCCGUCUCGUCCGCAUCUCGUCCGCAUCUGGCGUCUGAGGCUGUUGCUUCCCGUCCCGAUC
rnacentral:lncRNA from 1 species